rnacentral:rRNA from 1 species
UACGUAGGGUGCAAGCGUUGUCCGGAAUUAUUGGGCGUAAAGAGCUCGUAGGCGGUCUGUCGCGUCGGAUGUGAAAACCCAGGGCUCAACCCUGGGCCUGCAUUCGAUACGGGCAGACUAGAGUUCGGUAGGGGAGACUGGAAUUCCUGGUGUAGCGGUGAAAUGCGCAGAUAUCAGGAAGAACACCGGUGGCGAAGGCGGCUCUCUGGGCCUUACCUGACGCUGAGGAGCGAAAGCGUGGGUAGCGAACAGG